rnacentral:rRNA from 1 species
GAGAGGACCGGAGUGGACACACCUCUGGUGUAUCGGUUGUCACGCCAGUGGCAUUGCCGAGUAGCUAAGUGUGGAAGAGAUAACCGCUGAAAGCAUCUAAGCGGGAAACUCGUUUCAAGAUGAGAUCUGCCGGGGCCUUGAGCCCCCUGAAGAGUCGUUCAAGACCAGGACGUUGAUAGGCUGGGUGUGGAAGCGCAGUAAUGCGUUAAGCUAACCAGUACUAAUUGCUCGUGAGGCUUGACCCUAUAACUUUG